rnacentral:lncRNA from 1 species
GUUCUCCUAUUUAUUUGUAUUGUAGUCCUGUAAUAUUAUGUUGUCAUUUCAAUGUUAUAUUUAACAUUGCCAUUAAAGUGCGAGGUUUGGCAUGCCACAAAACCAGGUUCAACCCACCAUUUUUUCCUUUAAAAAUGUCCUGUACCAAGUCAGGAAUAUGGCCAUUGUUAUAUUAUUGUUCGUUUCUGUGUGUGUUACAUUUUAACGUUGCGUCGUUUGUUUUCUCUUAUUUUUUAGUGUAAUUUCACAUUGCGAUAACACGUGUCACGGUACUUGUCUAUCCCAAAUUCAUGUAUUUGGUUUUGAUGUUAUAUUUGUUAUUCUCGUGGGAUUUUGUCUGAUGCUUGGUCCGUUUCUGUGUGUGUUACAUUUUAGUGUUGUGUCGUUGUUCUCCUCUUAUAUUUAAUGCGUUUCCCUCGGUUUUGGUUUGUUACCC